AGGUUCGAAAUAUUUUCCUAACAAAAUACCACCCGCUGAACUUAAGCAUAUGGAUCCCAAAAGAGCAGAGGAGUCUAGAGUCGUCGUCCUUGCAAGUGUUCUAUUUUCUACGCGAAUAACUGUACUUU
rnacentral:rRNA from 1 species